UGCGUGACAUUAGCUUGUUGGUGAGGUAACAGCUCACCAAUGCUACGAUGUCUAGGGGGUCUGAGCGGAUGGUCCCCCACACUGGUACUGAGACACGGACCAGACUCCUACGGGAGGCAGCAGUGAGGAAUAUUGGUCACUGGGCGAAAGCCUGAACCAGNCAUGCCGCGUGAAUGAUGACCGCCCUAUGGGUUGUCCCCUUCUUCUGUACGGGAAGAAACGCUUCUACGCUGUAGAGGUUUGACGGUACCGUACGAAUAAGCAUCGGCCAACUCCGUGCCAGCAGCCGCGGUAAUACGGAGGAUGCAAGCGUUAUCCGGAUUUAUCGGGUUUAAAGGGUACGUAGGCGGGAGCUUAAGUCAGUGGUGAAAUCCUGCAGCUGAACUGUAGAACUGUCAGUGAUACUGGGCUUCUUGAACGUAGUUGAGGUAGGCGGAAUGUGUAAUGUAGCGGUGAAAUGCUUAGAUAUUACACAGAACACCGAUUGCGAAGGCAGCUUACUAAACUACGAUNGACGCUGAGGUACGAAAGCGUGGGGAGCGAACAGGAUUAGAUACCCUGGUAGUCCACGCUGUAAACGAUGAUCACUCGUUGUUGGCAAUACACCGUCAGCGACUGAGCGAAAGCAUUAAGUGAUCCACCUGGGGAGUACGACCGCAAGGUUGAAACUCAAAGGAAUUGACGGGGCCCGCACAAGCGGAGGAACAUGUGGUUUAAUUCGAUGAUACGCGAGGAACCUUACCUGGGCUUAAAUGUAGAACGACGGACCGGGGAACUGGUCUUUCUUCGGACGGUCUGCAAGGUGCUGCAUGGCUGUCGUCAGCUCGUGCCGUGAGGUGUCGGGUUAAGUCCCAUAACGAGCGCAACCCUCAUCAUUAGUUGCCAGCGGGUAAUGCCGGGGACUCUAAUGAAACUGCCGGUGUAAACCGAGAGGAAGGUGGGGAUGACGUCAAGUCAGCACGGCCCUUAUGUCCAGGGCUACACACGUGUUACAAUGGUCGGUACAAAGGGCAGCUACCUGGCGACAGGAUGCUAAUCUCGAAAACCGAUCUCAGUUCGGAUCGAAGUCUGCAACUCGACUUCGUGAAGCUGGAUUCGCUAGUAAUCGCGCAUCAGCCAUGGCGCGGUGAAUACGUUCCCGGGCCUUGUACACACCGCCCGUCAAGCCAUGGAAGCUGGGGGUAC
rnacentral:rRNA from 1 species